CGCCGCCGCCCCCGCGCGGCCGCUGCCGGUACCGCGCGCCCCGCCCCGCGCAGGCCGCGCCGCCAUGGCCGCGCUGCACGCCAAGGCCGGCGGGCCCCCGCAGAUCCCGGACACCCGCCGGGAGCUCGCCGAGCUGGUGAAGCGCAAGCAGGAGCUGGCGGAGACGCUGGCAAACCUGGAGCGGCAGAUCUACGCCUUCGAGGGCAGCUACCUGGAGGACACGCAGAUGUACGGGAACAUCAUCCGCGGCUGGGACCGGUACCUCACCAACCAGAAGAACUCCAACAGCAAAAACGACCGGAGGAACCGCAAGUUCAAGGAGGCCGAGAGGCUCUUCAGCAAGUCCUCGGUCACCUCGGCAGCGGCUGUCAGUGCUUUAGCUGGAGUCCAGGACCAGCUCAUUGAGAAGCGGGAGCCAGGCAGUGGCACAGAGAGUGACACUUCUCCAGACUUCCACAACCAGGAGAAUGAGCCCAAUCAGGAGGAUGCUGAAGAGCUGGAUGGCUCCGUGCAGGGGGUGAAGCCCCAGAAAGCUGCUUCCUCCACUUCCUCUGGGAGCCACCACAGCAGCCACAAAAAACGGAAGAACAAAAACAGACACAGGUAUGUAUAUUAGGUUAGGCUGGGAAGUUUUUUUUAAAAACAGAAAAGCGUGAUGGAGGAUUGAUCUCAAGUUAAACAAAAAGCCAAGAGCCGACUACUAGAGCCAUGAGUGCUGAUGCUCCUAGGAUUUUGGUCUGUGACUCCCCACUGAGAAGCCCUGAAGCAGGAUGGCAGCUGCAGCUGGAGUGACUCACUCUGAGGGACUUGGAUGGGGGGAGGAAAUCCUGGACCGUGUACUUUGCAUCAUUUUUAAAUCACCUGAGUUGCAGGAAGACUAAGGUGGUGUAGGUAGUAGUAGUAGUCCUGAAUUCCUGACUGUUCUGUGCUUCCACCUGGGUCGGGAACUUGCUGAAAUGGCUGAUGCUGCUGCCCCCCUGCCACCUGCAGACCCACAGAGAGGCAUUUCCUUUGCCACUGGAACCGGGGUAGAAUUCAGUGUGUCCCAUCCAUGUUGUGAGACUUAGAUUACUUUUGUUGCUGAUAUUUAGCUUUGUAGGUUUGGUUUGGUUUUUUGUUGGUUUUAUUGUGGUUUUUUUAAAGCCAAAGUGUAUAGUUAAAAGUCGACUUUGAGUUUCUUUGUUUAAUCUGUGUAGUGGAAGGUUCUUCAUUUUGUGGAGCAGCUUGUUUGAUUCUUACUCAAGCAGAGAAGGUGGUUUAAGCCUUUUCUCUUUCAUUUUAAACACCAUCUCCCAAGAUUCCACAGUGAUUUAGGUGCAGGAAGGGCCAGAGCUCAGAGCCAACUUGCUCUUUGCUGCCGCUGACUUUGGGUGGAUUCUCUUUUUAAUACAAACUUCUGUCAUUCGUACAUAAACAAUAAAAGUUCCAUGUUUGUCUCUUCCCAUGGUUCGUUCAGUCCAAA